rnacentral:lncRNA from 1 species
AUGGAAAAGAAAUGCAAAAAAGCAAAAUGGCUGUCUGGGGGAGACUUACAAAUAGCUGUGAAAAGAAGAGAAGCGAAAAGCCAAGGAGAAAAGGAAAGAUAUAAGCAUCUGAAUGCAGAAUUUCAAAGAAUAGCAAGAAGAGAUAAGAAAGCCUUCUUCAGUGAUCAGUGCAAAGAAAUAGAGGAAAAGAACAGAAUGGGAAAGACUAGAGUUCUCUUCAAGAAAAUUAGAGAUACCAAGGGAACAUUUCAUGCAAAGAUGGGCUCAAUAAAGGACAGAAAUGGUAUGGACCUAACAGAAGCAGAAGAUAUUAAGAAGAGGUGGCAAGAAUACACAGAAGAACUGUACAAAAAAGAUCUUCAUGACCCGGAUAAUAACAAUGGUGUGAUCACUUAUCUAGAGCCAGAUAUCCUGGAAUGUGAAGUCAAGUGGGCCCUAGAAAGCAUCACUAUGAACAAAGCUAGUGGAGGUGAUGGCAUUCCAGUUGAGCUAUUUCAAAUCCUGAAAGAUGAUGCUUUCAAAGUGCUGCACUCAACAUGCCAGCAAAUGUGGAAAAUUCAGCAGUGGCCACAGGACUGGAAAAGGUCAGUUUUCAUUCCAAUCCCAAAGAAAGGCAAUGCCAAAGAAUGCUCAAACUACCGCACAAUUGCACUCAUCUCACAUACUAGUAAAGUAAUGCUCAAAAUUCUCCAAGCCAGGCUUCAGCAAUAUGUGAACCGUGAACUUCCUGAUGUUCAAGCUGGUUUCAGAAAAGGCAGAGGAACCAGAGAUCAAAUUGCCAACAUCUGCUGGAUCAUAGAAAAAGCAAGACAGUUCCAGAAAAACAUCUACCUCUGCUUUAUUGACUAUGCCAAAGCCUUUGACUAUGUGGAUCACAAUAAACUGUGGAAAAUUUUGCAGGAAAUGGGAAUAUCAGACCACCUGACCUGCCUCUUGAGAAAUCUGUAUACAGGUCAGGAAGCAACAGUUAGAACUGGACAUGGAACAACAGACUGGUUCCAGAUAGGAAAAGGAGUACGUCAAGGCUGUAUGCUGUCACCCUGCUUAUUUAACUUAUACACAGAAUGCAUCCUGAGACACGCUGGACUGGAAGAAACACAAGCUGAAAUCAAGAUUGCCAGGAGAAAUAUCAAUAACCUCAGAUAUGCAGAUGACACCACCCUUAUGGCAGAAAGUGAAGAGGAAAUAAAAAGCCUCUUGAUGAAAGUGAAAGAGGAGACUGGGGAAGUUGGCCUAAAGCUCAACAUUCAGAAAACGAAGAUCAUGGCAUCCGGUCCCAUCACUUCAUGGGAAAUAGAUGGGGAAACAGUGGAAACAGUAUCAGACUUUUUUUGGGGGGGCUCCAAAAUCACUGCAGAUGGUGACCGCAGCCAUGAAAUUAAAAGAUACUUACUUCUUGGAAGAAAAGUUAUGACCAACCUAGAUAGCAUAUUCAAAAGCAGAGACAUUACUUUGCCAACUAAGGUCCGUCUAGACAAGGCUAUGGUUUUUCCAGAAGUCAUGUACAGAUGUGAAAGUUGGACUGUGAAGAAGGCUGAGUGCCCAAGAAUUGAUGCUUUUGAACUGUGGUGUUGA